CUUUCCACAGAAAUCUGUAUAAUAUCAGCCACAACCAAUAGCAGCCACAACCAGUGAUCACGGGCUCACAAUCCUUCUAGAGAAGAAAAGGUGGAAUUUGGGCAAAAUGCAGGUGAGGAAGAAGAAAGUGGAACACAAAACUGAGGUAUCACUACGGACUUCUGGGAAUUACAGGAAGAUUGCCUCACCCUGCAUGUGAGAGCAGUUAGAUACUUGAACACUAAAAGUAGGGAAGCUGCCUUGAAGAGAAAGUGGGUCAACUCAAGGCUAAGUUGUAAGAUGACAUGAGCCUAAGGUUCAAGGUCUUGUAAGGGAUCUCCCUUGUCUGAUGGAUGUAUCAGAGGUUGAACAAGUUAACAUGGGUCACAAUGGUAUAGUGGAAGAACACAAUUGACACUGAAAACAAAAUAUUUAUCCUGUCAGUCUCAGUUGGUUAUUUGUUCAGUGGUUGUUGAGCAGGUACCAUGUACUCGACACUGCUGAAUGCAGAGCACCUAAAGGCAAGAAAACACAGUUUGAUCUUAAGGAUCCCACGAGGAAGGUAUGCCAAAGAGUUAUUCAGUUUCCUACUCUCGUCCCCAAAUCCAUCCACUCCCCUCCUUUGUCUGCCUACCUUCCUCACCCAGAAGUUGACCCUGGGCUCUGAAUCACCUUGCCUUGUGGCUUCUAGUUGGGCUUGGUCUAAAGGAGUCACCAUUAGGAAAUUUGAAGGUGGGAAAAAAGAGAGAUCGGGGCUUUUUUUCCUCUCCCUCAUGAGCUGGAAUGGGUUUUCUGAUGAUGCUGUCCCGCUACCCCCACCAUAACUACAGUUUCUGUAAGAUAACCCCUUCUGCUUGUCCUGAGCUCCCAAUGCUCAAUGCUUUCAUAAUACUCUUUGCUUCCUUUGCUGUUUUAUUCCUUUGAGUGUUAGUGGUAUCUCACUGUUGCCAAUCCCUGGGUCCUUAGCAUCCAUUUCUGGGUUCAUUAACCUUUCUCACAUCUUUGUAAAUAUAUUGUUAGGUUUCUUGGACCAUUUGAGUACUAUUCUCUGUCUGGCAAGACUCUGUUGUAGGGUAAGCCAUAUAUGAUAUAGGAGCAAAAUGAAGGCACACCAGGAGAGAGGGAUUCAGCAGUGACCUUUUAGAAAGAUUUUGAGGUUUUUUGGUACAUGCACUGAUGGGGGCCAUGCUGUUGAGAAAGAGUAUUUGAAGCAAGACAUUAAUAAUUUAACACUGGAUUAAGAGUGUGUUAGAUGAAGACUUAACAGAAUUCACCCUGACAUGUUGUAUUCAUUCAGAUUUUUACCAUUGUGUCUUUUCCUUUUUGCACCUUGGCUCAGCUAUCUUUCAGUUUGACAAAAAUGUUUCUGCUUGGAAAUGCCCGUGAGCUCACCUCACAUUAUUUACUUGUGAAGAAUAAUGAUGUGCUUAAGGGCAUGAUAGGCUUGUGGGCUGAACACCAGAGUUAUGCCUUAGGGGAAUAUUUUAGUAUUAAUAUGAUGUUCACUUUCUCAGAGUAUAAUAUCUUUAAGGCUCAUCCGCACUUCAUUAAAGACUAAAAAAUGGGGACUCAUGCUAAUGUAUGUAGCUGAUAGAGUUUUCUGUACAUUGUUCUAUCUUUUCUUUUUUUUUUUUUUUGGCUGCUACGACCUUUUUACCUUGAUCCAUUUGACAAGUAGGCUAAUUUAGCAUGAAACAGGAGCAAGCAAGAUAAAGCUACUUCUUGCAAAUCUGAGGAAGAUGUGGACGUGUUGGAGGAAGCUAAAUAAACAUGAAUCUUUGACCUUCUCCUUUAACUAGUGCUCCAGUCCAGUGAGCUCAUUAUAGGGAAAUCUGUUAGCAACCUUCACAUGUUGGCAGAUGACUGGUACUGAACACAUGCUGCCAGCCCAACAGGGGAUCGGGAGAAGCCCAGCUCGUGCAUGACCCAUCAAUGCUAAAUAGCAAAUCCCUGUAGUUACUUGCAUUACGUAAAACUGCUUGAUGCACAUUAAAGAGAACCUUUUGAACCCCACACUCAUUAUUAUUUU